AACUCUUAGCGGUGGAUCACUCAGCUCGUGCGUCGAUGAAGAAUGCAGCUAGCUGCGAGAACUAAUGUGAUUUGCAGGACCCCCAUCCUAGCGGUCCUUUCCUCAGACUGCUCCUCUGCCUCUUUCAGCUUAA
rnacentral:rRNA from 1 species